rnacentral:rRNA from 1 species
UACGGGGGGAGCAAGCGUUGUUCGGAUUUACUGGGCGUAAAGGGCGCGUAGGCGGCCACCGCAAGUCGACUGUGGAAAUCUCCGGGCUUAACUCGGAAAGGUCAGCCGAUACUGCGGGGCUAGAGUGCAGAAGGGGGCAACUGGAAUUCUCGGUGUAGCGGUGAAAUGCGUAGAUAUCGAGAGGAACACCUGCGGCGAAGGCGGGUUGCUGGGCUGACACUGACGCUGAGGCGCGAAAGCUAGGGGAGCGAACGGG